GCUGGGCGUGGUGGCACUUGCCUGUAGUCCCAGCUACUCGGGAGGCUGAGGUGGGAGGAUCGCUUGAGCCCAGGAGUUCUGGGCUGUGCGCUAUGCCAAUUGGGUGUCAGCACUAAGUUCGGCAUCAAUAUGCUGGGGGAGCAGGGGACCACCAGGUUGCCUAAGGAGGGGUGAACCGGCCCAGGUCAGAAAUGGAGCAGGUGAAAAAUCCCAUGCUGAUCAGUAGUGGGAUCACGCCUGUGAAUAGCCACUGUACUCCAGCCUGGGCAACAUAGCAAGACCCUGUCUCUU
rnacentral:SRP_RNA from 1 species